AGCGAACGCUGGCGGCAGGCUUAACACAUGCAAGUCGAGCGCCCCGCAAGGGGAGCGGCAGACGGGUGAGUAACACGUGGGGAUCUGCCCAAUGGUACGGAAUAGCUCCGGGAAACUGGAAUUAAUACCGUAUGUGCCCGCAAGGGGAAAGAUUUAUCGCCAUUGGAUGAACCCGCGUCGGAUUAGCUAGUUGGUGUGGUAAAGGCGCACCAAGGCGACGAUCCGUAGCUGGUCUGAGAGGAUGAUCAGCCACACUGGGACUGAGACACGGCCCAGACUCCUACGGGAGGCAGCAGUGGGGAAUAUUGGACAAUGGGCGCAAGCCUGAUCCAGCCAUGCCGCGUGAGUGAUGAAGGCCUUAGGGUUGUAAGGCUCUUUCGCCGACGAAGAUAAUGACGGUAGUCGGAGAAGAAGCCCCGGCUAACUUCGUGCCAGCCGCCGCAGUAACAC
rnacentral:rRNA from 1 species